rnacentral:rRNA from 1 species
GACGAACGCUGGCGGCGUGCCUAAUACAUGCAAGUAGAACGCUGAAGGAGGAGCUUGCUUCUCUGGAUGAGUUGCGAACGGGUGAGUAACGCGUAGGUAACCUGCCUGGUAGCGGGGGAUAACUAUUGGAAACGAUAGCUAAUACCGCAUAAUAGUAGAUGUUGCAUGACAUUUGCUUAAAAGGUGCAAUUGCAUCACUACCAGAUGGACCUGCGUUGUAUUAGCUAGUUGGUGGGGUAACGGCUCACCAAGGCGACGAUACAUAGCCGACCUGAGAGGGUGAUCGGCCACACUGGGACUGAGACACGGCCCAGACUCCUACGGGAGGCAGCAGUAGGGAAUCUUCGGCAAUGGACGGAAGUCUGACCGAGCAACGCCGCGUGAGUGAAGAAGGUUUUCGGAUCGUAAAGCUCUGUUGUAAGAGAAGAACGAGUGUGAGAGUGGAAAGUUCACACUGUGGCGGUAUCUUACCAGAAAGGGACGGCUAACUACGUG